GACGAACGCUGGCGGCGUGCUUAACACAUGCAAGUCGAACGGAAAGGCCCUGCUUUUGUGGGGUGCUCGAGUGGCGAACGGGUGAGUAACACGUGAGUAACCUGCCCUUGACUUUGGGAUAACUUCAGGAAACUGGGGCUAAUACCGGAUAGGAGCUCCUGCUGCAUGGUGGGGGUUGGAAAGUUUCGGCGGUUGGGGAUGGACUCGCGGCUUAUCAGCUUGUUGGUGGGGUAGUGGCUUACCAAGGCUUUGACGGGUAGCCGGCCUGAGAGGGUGACCGGCCACAUUGGGACUGAGAUACGGCCCAGACUCCUACGGGAGGCAGCAGUGGGGAAUAUGGCACAAUGGGCGGAAGCCUGAUGCAGAAACGCCGCGUGCGGGAUGACGGCCUUCGGUUGUAAACCGCUUUCGCCUGUGACGAAGCGUGAGUGACGGUAAUGGGUAAAGAAGCACCGGCUAACUACGUG
rnacentral:rRNA from 1 species